rnacentral:rRNA from 1 species
UACGGAGGGUGCGAGCGUUAUCCGGAAUCACUGGGUUUAAAGGGUGCGUAGGCGGGGAAUUAAGUCAGUGGUGAAAUCUUGUCGCUUAACGAUAAAAUUGCCAUUGAUACUGAUUUUCUUGAAUUGGGUUGAGGUUAGCGGAAUGUGACAUGUAGCGGUGAAAUGCAUAGAUAUGUCAUGGAACACCAAUUGCGAAGGCAGCUAGCUGGGCCUUGAUUGACGCUGAGGCACGAAAGCGUGGGUAGCGAACAGGAUUAGAUACCCUGGUAGUCCACGCCCUAAACGAUGCUAACUCGAUGUUUGGCCGUAAGGUUGAGCAUCCAAGGGAAACCGAUAAGUUAGCCACCUGGGGAGUACGACCGCAAGGUUGAA